GCGACUGAACGGGGAAGAGCCCAGCGCGGAACCUCGCGCGCCUGAACGGCUGCGUCUGAGGAAUGUCGCGUUGCGGAGGGGCCUUCUCCGACCACACCGACCCCCCCCAAGUCCGCUUGAACGCGGCCACUGCCCAUGGAGGGUGCGAGGCCCGUACGGGGAUUAGGAGUCGGGCGGUCGGACGGCCCCGUCCGAAGAGUCGGGUUGCCUAGUAACGCAGCCCAAAGCAGGUGGUAAACUCCAUCUAAGGCUAAAUAUGACCACGAGACCGAUAGCGAACAAGU
rnacentral:rRNA from 1 species